rnacentral:rRNA from 1 species
AGCGUACACGGUGGAUGCCUAGGCAGUCAGAGGCGAUGAAGGGCGUGCUAAUCUGCGAAAAGCGUCGGUAAGGUGAUAUGAACCGUUAUAACCGGCGAUACCCGAAUGGGGAAACCCAGUGUGUUUCGACACACUAUCAUGUCAUGAAUACAUAGUGGCAUGAGGCGAACCGGGGGAACUGAAACAUCUAAGUACCCCGAGGAAAAGAAAUCAACCGAGAUUCCCCCAGUAGCGGCGAGCGAACGGGGAGGAGCCCAGAACCUGAAUCGGCUUGUGUGUUAGUGGAAGCGUCUGGAAAGUCGCGCAGCAAAGGGUGAUAGCCCCGUACACUAAAAUGCACAGGUCGUGAGUUCGAUGAGUAGGGCGGGACACGUGACAUCCUGUCUGAAUAUGGGGGGACCAUCCUCCAAGGCUAAAUACUCCUGACUGACCGAUAGUGAACCAGUACCGUGAGGGAAAGGCGAAAAGAACCCCGGCGAGGGGAGUGAAAUAGAACCUGAAACCGUGUACGUACAAGCAGUGGGAGCACCUUCGUGGUGUGACUGCGUACCUUUUGUAUAAUGGGUCAGCGACUUAUAUUUUGUAGCAAGGUUAACCGUAUAGGGGAGCCGUAGGGAAACCGAGUCUUAACUGGGCGAUUAGUUGCAAGGUAUAGACCCGAAACCCGGUGAUCUAGCCAUGGGCAGGUUGAAGGUUGGGUAACACUAACUGGAGGACCGAACCGACUAAUGUUGAAAAAUUAGCGGAUGACUUGUGGCUGGGGGUGAAAGGCCAAUCAAACCGGGAGAUAGCUGGUUCUCCCCGAAAGCUAUUUAGGUAGCGCCUCGUGAACUCAUCUUCGGGGGUAGAGCACUGUUUCGGCUAGGGGGCCAUCCCGGCUUACCAAACCGAUGCAAACUCCGAAUACCGAAGAAUGUUAUCACGGGAGACACACGGCGGGUGCUAACGUCCGUCGUGAAGAGGGAAACAACCCAGACCGCCAGCUAAGGUCCCAAAGUCAUGGUUAAGUGGGAAACGAUGUGGGAAGGCACAGACAGCCAGGAUGUUGGCUUAGAAGCAGCCAUCAUUUAAAGAAAGCGUAAUAGCUCACUGGUCGAGUCGGCCUGCGCGGAAGAUGUAACGGGGCUAAACCAUGCACCGAAGCUGCGGCAGCGACGCUUAGGCGUUGUUGGGUAGGGGAGCGUUCUGUAAGCCGUUGAAGGUGGCCUGUGAGGGUUGCUGGAGGUAUCAGAAGUGCGAAUGCUGACAUAAGUAACGAUAAAGCGGGUGAAAAGCCCGCUCGCCGGAAGACCAAGGGUUCCUGUCCAACGUUAAUCGGGGCAGGGUGAGUCGACCCCUAAGGCGAGGCUGAAAAGCGUAGUCGAUGGGAAACAGGUUAAUAUUCCUGUACUUGGUGUUACUGCGAAGGGGGGACGGAGAAGGCUAGGCUGGCCGGGCGACGGUUGUCCCGGUUUAAGCGUGUAGGGGGUGUGACCUGGUAAAUCCGGUUGCAUAUCAACCCUGAGGCGUGAUGACGAUGCACUACGGUGCAGAAGUAGUUGAUGCCCUGCUUCCAGGAAAAUCCUCUAAGCUCCAGGUAACAUUAAAUCGUACCCCAAACCGACACAGGUGGUCAGGUAGAGAAUACCAAGGCGCUUGAGAGAACUCGGGUGAAGGAACUAGGCAAAAUGGUGCCGUAACUUCGGGAGAAGGCACGCUGGCAUGUAGGUGAAGUCCCUUGCGGAUGGAGCUGAAGCCAGUCGAAGAUACCAGCUGGCUGCAACUGUUUAAUAAAAACACAGCACUGUGCAAACACGAAAGUGGACGUAUACGGUGUGACGCCUGCCCGGUGCUGGAAGGUUAAUUGAUGGGGUCAGCCGCAAGGCGAAGCUCUUGAUCGAAGCCCCAGUAAACGGCGGCCGUAACUAUAACGGUCCUAAGGUAGCGAAAUUCCUUGUCGGGUAAGUUCCGACCUGCACGAAUGGCGUAAUGAUGGCCAGGCUGUCUCCACCCGAGACUCAGUGAAAUUGAACUCGCUGUGAAGAUGCAGUGUACCCGCGGCAAGACGGAAAGACCCCGUGAACCUUUACUAUAGCUUGACACUGAACAUUGAGCCUUGAUGUGUAGGAUAGGUGGGAGGCUUUGAAGCGUGGACGCCAGUCUGCGUGGAGCCAUCCUUGAAAUACCACCCUUUAAUGUUUGAUGUUCUAACUCUGCCCCAUAAUCUGGGGUGAGGACAGUGUCUGGUGGGUAGUUUGACUGGGGCGGUCUCCUCCCAAAGAGUAACGGAGGAGCACGAAGGUUAGCUAAUCACGGUCGGACAUCGUGAGGUUAGUGCAAAGGCAUAAGCUAGCUUGACUGCGAGAGUGACGGCUCGAGCAGGUACGAAAGUAGGUCUUAGUGAUCCGGUGGUUCUGAAUGGAAGGGCCAUCGCUCAACGGAUAAAAGGUACUCCGGGGAUAACAGGCUGAUACCGCCCAAGAGUUCAUAUCGACGGCGGUGUUUGGCACCUCGAUGUCGGCUCAUCACAUCCUGGGGCUGAAGUAGGUCCCAAGGGUAUGGCUGUUCGCCAUUUAAAGUGGUACGCGAGCUGGGUUUAGAACGUCGUGAGACAGUUCGGUCCCUAUCUGCCGUGGGCGUUGGAAGAUUGAGAGGGGUUGCUCCUAGUACGAGAGGACCGGAGUGAACGCACCACUGGUGUUCGGGUUGUCAUGCCAAUGGCAUUGCCCGGUAGCUAAGUGCGGAAAAGAUAAGCGCUGAAAGCAUCUAAGCGCGAAACUUGCCUCAAGAUGAGUCUUCCCUGGGCCUUUAAGGCCCCUGAAGGAACGUUUAAGACUAAGACGUUGA